rnacentral:lncRNA from 1 species
AUGCCUCAUGCCACUCAAGUGUUGAGCCCUGGUAUGUCAGGCACCGUUCUAAGUGCUUUACACGCUUUGACUCAUUCAAUCCUUGCAACAAAUCUAGGAAGUAGGUACUGUUGUCACCCUCAUUUUACAGAUGAAGACACCAGGGUGACUUUCUUAAGGAAAACGGUGGACCUGGGACUCCAGAGCCACAUCCCCAGCUCCCUGCGCCCACCUUGGCCUGGGGCUUUCAUGGGUGUUAUCUUGCUUCCAUUGUCUUGGGGGAGGAGCCAGAAGGGAUGUGGAUAACAGAGGACUUCCUUAAAGAUGGGAUCACGGCACAGCACCUUGGCCUCUUCCUUGAGUGCUGGGUGCUCGGCAGGUGCUUGCCAAGGUGUGCGUUGCACAGAGGAUUUGCUGGCUGGGUCCCAUGAGCUUGCACAGCUGAGCUUGGUUAGAGAGUAAUUGGAACACCAAAAAUGCUCGACCUUGGACCACAGCUUCCGUAUCACCAGGGUCAGCUGGGCUGUGGCCCCAGCUUCCUCAAGAACUCAGAGACUUGGGUUCUCCCACUGAGUUGCACCUGGCUGAGCACUUCUGGGAUGGGUUCUGGUGCAGCGUGGUGCUCCAGUGUCCAGCAUGGGCCCUGACACUCAGGAGGCCCUCGUAUAUGGCUAUUGAGUGAUUCAGCUACCUGUGCCAUCUUGGAGGUGGCCACGUCCCUCAGACCUCAGUCUCCUGGUAACAAAAAGGGAUCCUUUCUGUCUCCAGAGGACAUGGCUUAAAACCCUUAGGGGCAAGCACUCCAUGAGCACUUACUGUAUGCCACGCCCUGUUCUAACACUUCACAUGUGCAAAUUCGUUUAGUCCUCAUGACUACUCUUGGUACUAUUCAGGCGCCAUUUUACAGAUGAGGAAAUCGAGACUCAGAGAGGUUAGGUAGCUCUCCAAGGUCCUGAAGCUGGUGAGUGGCAGAGUCAGGAUUUGAACCCAGACCAUCUGGCUGUAUGGUUCAUGCUCCUAACCGCUAAAUCUAUGGACUUUUUGACUGACUCUCAUCUUGGUCCAGAGCUGUUGGGAUUUAAGAGGGAGCCACUGUUGUUUUUACUAUUACUAAAGGACAAACCCACAGGCAUGGCUGGAGAUAGAACCUUAUUUCUGGGACUUGAUUUGAGGAAGGGUGUAGAAAGAGUGUGUGGGGAAUAUCCCAGUUUGACCAAGGGUUUGCAAAGGGCAAUCCAUGUAAGACACGAAUCUAAUCCUGUCUUGUCCUUGAAUUGGCACUGGGCUUAACUCCUUUUCUUCAUUCCUCUAUGAGAGUGGUGGGAGCCAACUCACCUCUCAGGGUCGCAGAGACCUGACCUCCCAAGGGGGCUGACCCCUGCUCAGACCAGGCAGCCUAGGAGCCCCUCAGCUGCCCCAUCAGGACUCAUCGCACCUCCUUCCCCAGCCUUGGCAGCUGGCCCUGGGACUUGAGGGGGGCAGGAGGACCAGAAUGGGGAAGGGUCAAGGCUGAGCCUCUCCAGCCUGCUUGUUUGAGCAGGAGACUUGGGCAUCUGGGCAGAUGGAGGAUGGGCCCUUUCUCAUUCAGCAGAGUCUCCUGUAGGGCUCUCUUGGUGUUUAGUAGGUGCUGACUCCUGGGUGAUAGCAGUCUAGUGGGCCAGGGCACAGGUUGGGGAUGGGGGAUGGGAUCAGGGAGGCAAGAGGAGGCUGGGAUACAUGGCCAAAGCUAUGGACUCAGGAGUCAGAUUUUUAUCCUAACCCUCCCCUAACCCCCAUUUCCUUGGGAAAGUUACUUCCUGCCCAGAACUCCAUUUCUCUUUCUUUAAGAUGGAGAUCAUAAUACUGUCCCUGUGAACAUGAAACAGAAGCACAGAUGUAGGACCAAGUGUAAGGUGUGGGCCAUACAAAGCAUGGAAUAAAGGUGGCUGCUGUUAUUACAACUCAUACCAGGAGCUCUUGCUGAGUGAGCUAACAUGGCGGGUCUGUAGCCUCAGAAGUAGGCACCUGACUAGGCCUGGCCAAUCAGAGGAUUCCACUGAUUCUGGAUAGACAUGUGACUCAAGCUUGGCCAAUGAAUUCAAGCCCUGGGACUUUUGUUGGAACCAUUGGAAAGAAAGGCCCUCUUUCUGCUGGGGUUGAUGAGAGGAUAGGAGACCAGCCUGGAGCUGCUGGUAGUUGUUAUGCCUCCAUGAGGGAAGAGACCCCUUCUGAGGAUUAGGCUGGUCCAGAGGUGGAGAGAGGGAGAUUAAAACCUGAUGUCAUGCCUUGAUGCUCUGCAGCCAGCCUUGCCUGAAAUCGAAGCAGAUUCAUGCAUGUGAGUCAAAAAUCUUUUCUUUUUAGAGCUUGUUUCUGUUACUUGUAAUUAAAAUAGUCUUGAGUAAUGAAGGCUAAUUCAGAACAAAAGGCAAAUUUUGUUCUGAAAUGCUUGGUUUUGGGGGAGUGAAAUAGUCACACUCAGUAAAUGAGCCAAAAAAUAUCUUUCCUGAAAUGUAGUUUGGAAAGGGAGAAGGCUUCAUGAGGGUCACACGCCAGAGGAGACAGUAAUAACUGUGGAUGUAGCCACGUAAGUCAUUCAUUCAUUUGACCAUUCAAAGGGACUUAGAGAGCACCUACUGUGUGCCAGACAGUGGGUACAACAAUGCUGUCUCCAUAGAACUUAGUGAGAAGAUGUGCAUAUAUCAAAUGAUGACAAGUGCCCUGAGUGACAUUGAGGGAGAAGCUCUGGGUGGGUAUAAUGAGGUUGGGAAAGGCUUUUCUGAUGAAAUGAUAUUAAACUGAGGUCUGAAGGAGGAGAAGAGUUGUCUGGAGAAGGAGUCUGGGGGAGAGGGGCCAGAGGGUGUGCCAAGCAGAUGUGCUGAAGUGUUUGAGGGACUGGAUGAAAGGCAAUGCCUCUCUGGAUCUGCAAUGGGGAGAGGAGUGGGUGGAAGGGAGUCCAAGUGGGGCAGAGACCAUUAGGAGGCUUUAAAGAGAGGAUGCUGGCUGGGAUGGAGAGCAGAGGGGCCAGUGGAGGGGGAGUAGUGGGAGAACCAGGAAGGAGGAUGAAGUGAGGGCGCUGAUGAGGGUCCCAGGAGUGCUUGGGGUGGAAAAGUUGUCUAAGAACCUUGACAUGAAGUCUGGAGGCUGCUGUUGGAAUCUUCUAGCUGCCUAGAGAGAGAGUUUUGGCUUGGAGGUGGUGCAGGAGCAUGGAGAGGAAGACCAGGAGAGAGAGUGAGUGUCCUUUCACAUGGCCCCCGAACACCCAUCACCCAGAUCAAAGAUGUCAUUUGCACCCAAGGAGCCCCCCACAUGUCCCAUUCCAUUCUCUAGCCACCUCUCGAAGGAAAUCACCAAUCACUAUCCUGACUCCUGCCAACAUGGAUUAAUGUUGCCUUUUUUUUUUUUUUUUUGAGGCAGAGUCUCACUCUGUCGCCCAGGCUGGAGUGCAGUGGUGUGAUCCCAGCUCACUGCAGCCUCUGCCUCCCAGGUUGAAGUGAUUCUUGUGCCUCAGUCUCCCGAGUAGCUGGGAUUACAGACACAUGCCACCACACCUCGCUAAUUUUUGUAUUUUUAGUAGAGACAGGAUUUCCCAAUGUUGGCCAGGCUGGUCUUGAACUCCUGACCUCAAGUGAUCUUCCUGCCUCAGCCUCCCAAAGUGCUGGGAUUACAGGCAUGAGCCACUGCACCCAGCUAAUAUUGCUUAUUUUUGCGAUUUACAUAAAUGGAAUCACAUGGCAUGUCCUCUUUUUGUGUGUGGCUUCUUUCUCUCAACCUCAUGUCUGUGAGAGUCAUCCCAACUGUGUGCACUGGUAGAUUGCUCAUUCUCAUUGCCAGGUAAAAUUCAUUAUAUGGCUGUACCACAAAUUAGUUAUUCUGCUGUUAAUGGAUAUGUGAGUUGUUUCCAGUUUUUGGUUGGUACAAAUAAUACCGCUAAGAACAUUUUUGUAUUAUACACACCUUUUGAGGUACAUCACCACUCAUUUCUAUUGGGUUUAAACCUACAUAUGGGAUUACUGGACCAUGGAGUAUGUGUAUGUUCACUUUAGUAAAUUCUGCCAGUUUCACAAAGCAGUUGUACACCUUUACACUCCACCAGCAGUGAACGAGAGUUCCAGUUUACUUGCUCCACAUCCUUGCCAACACUUUAUUGUCAGUUUUUCUCAUUUUGGUCAUUCUUACGAGCUUGAACCAGUGUCCCACUGUGGUUUUAAUCUGGCCAUUGGAUAGCUUCUUUGGUGAAGUGCUUGUUCAUUUCUUCUGCCCAUUUUUGUAUUGGAUUGUCUUCUUUUCUUAAUUUUUUUUUUUUGAGAUGGAAUCUCACUCUGUCACCUAGACUGGAGUGCUAUGGUGCCAUCUCAGCUCACUGCAACCUCCACCUCCUGGGUUCAAGGGAUUCUCCUGCCUCAGCCUCCCGAGUAGCUGGGAUUGCAGGCACCUGCCACCACACCCUGCUAAUUAUUUGUAUUUUUAGUAGAGACGGGGUUUCACCAUUUUGGCCAGGUUGGUCUCGAGCUCCUGACCUCAGGUUAUCCAGCUGCCUCGGCUUCCCAAGUGCAGGGAUUACAGGCAUGAGCCACUGUGCCUGGCUGGUUUGUAAAAUUCUUUAUAUAUUCUGGACAUAGGUCCUUUGUCAGAUGUAUGGAUUUCAAAUAUUUUUCUCCCACUCUUUAGCUUGUCUUUCUACUCACUUAGUGGUGUCUUUCAGUGAAUGGAAGUUGUAAACCUUAAUCUGCUAAAUGUAUCCAUUGUUU